GACGAACGCUGGCGGCGUGCUUAACACAUGCAAGUCGAACGGAAAGGCCCUGCUUUUGUGGGGUGCUCGAGUGGCGAACGGGUGAGUAACACGUGAGUAACCUGCCCUUGACUUUGGGAUAACUUCAGGAAACUGGGGCUAAUACCGGAUAGGAGCUCCUGCUGCAUGGUGGGGGUUGGAAAGUUUCGGCGGUUGGGGAUGGACUCGCGGCUUAUCAGCUUGUUGGUGGGGUAGUGGCUUACCAAGGCUUUGACGGGUAGCCGGCCUGAGAGUGUGACCGGCCACAUUGGGACUGAGAUACGGCCCAGACUCCUACGGGAGGCAGCAGUGGGGAAUAUUGCACAAUGGGCGGAAGCCUGAUGCAGCAACGCCGCGUGCGGGAUGACGGCCUUCGGGUUGUAAACCGCUUUCGCCUGUGACGAAGCGUGAGUGACGGUAAUGGGUAAAGAAGCACCGGCUAACUCCGUG
rnacentral:rRNA from 1 species